UAUUCGAAUCGAAAGGAGAUU
ensembl:piRNA 21ur-4138 ncRNA